GUGAGUAUAGUUCAGUGAUAGAGCUUUUGCUUAGCAUGCAUGAGAUCUGGGGUUCAAUCCCCAGUACCUACA
rnacentral:tRNA from 1 species